rnacentral:rRNA from 1 species
GGUAACUCGGUGCAGGGUGCGGUGGGAAUAGGGAGGGAGCUAGGGGGGUUCGGAUAGACUGGGCGUAAAGCGAACGUAGGCGGCGUCGUAAGGCAGGGGUGAAAGCCCGGAGCUCAACUCCGGAACUGCCCUUGAAACUGCAAUGCUAGAAUCUUGGAGAGGCGAGUGGAAUUCCGAGUGUAGAGGUGAAAUUCGUAGAUAUUCGGAAGAACACCAGUGGCGAAGGCGACUCGCUGGACAAGUAUUGACGCUGAGGUGCGAAAGCGUGGGGAGCAAACAGGAUUAGAUACCCCAGUAGUC